AGCGAACGCUGGCGGCAGGCCUAACACAUGCAAGUCGAACGAAGCCUUCGGGCUUAGUGGCGGACGGGUGAGUAACACGUGGGAACGUACCUUUUAGUUCGGAAUAACGCAGAGAAAUUUGCGCUAAUACCGAAUGAGCCCUUCGGGGGAAAGAUUUAUCGCCGAAAGAUCGGCCCGCGUUGGAUUAGGUAGUUGGUGUGGUAAAGGCGCACCAAGCCUACGAUCCAUAGCUGGUCUGAGAGGAUGACCAGCCACAUUGGGACUGAGACACGGCCCAAACUCCUACGGGAGGCAGCAGUGGGGAAUCUUGCGCAAUGGGCGAAAGCCUGACGCAGCCAUGCCGCGUGGAUGAUGAAGGUCUUAGGAUUGUAAAAUCCUUUCACCGGUGAAGAUAAUGACUGUAGCCGGAGAAGAAGCCCCGGCUAACUUCGUGCCAGCAGCCGCCGUAAAAC
rnacentral:rRNA from 1 species